rnacentral:lncRNA from 1 species
GGCAGCAAAGCCUUUCUUUGGAUGCCUUCCAAAAGUUGUCACAAAAAUUAACUGACUAAAUAUUCAUCAAUGCCAUCUGUGUAGUAAUUAAAAGUGAAAACUGGCAUUAGAUCGUCUUGUCAGCAUGCCACCUUGAAGAAUUAUAUAGUUUUUGGAAGAGCUGUUUCAUGAUGGCCUGCUAAUUAAAACGUGCCCCAUAGGCAGCCGCAGUAGCCCUGCUCAGAGCUCUGUGGAAGGGUGCCACACUUUAAUUACUUACUUGCCAGUAAAUACUUUAAAUGUUUGCUCUCAGGUUUCAAUCUUCUCACUGGACUUCUGAAUUUUGUUCAUUUCAUAUAUUUUCUCUAGGAGCAGAUUGACAUCUUUGAAGGGAUAAAGGAUAGCCAGGCCCAGCGCAUGGCGGAAAAUCUGGGCUUCCUCGGGUCUUUGAAAAACCAGGCUGCAGAUCAGAUUAAAAAGCUGUACCAUCUCUUCCUGAAGAUUGACGCCACUCAGGUAGAAGUGAACCCCUUCGGUGAAACUCCAGAAGGCCAAGUUGUCUGUUUUGAUGCCAAGAUAAACUUUGAUGACAAUGCUGAAUUCCGACAAAAGGACAUAUUUGCUAUGGACGACAAGUCAGAGAAUGAACCCAUUG